rnacentral:rRNA from 1 species
UGCGAUAAGCGCCGGUAAGGUGAUAUGAACCGUUAUAACCGGCGAUUUCCGAAUGGGGAAACCCAGUGUGAUUCGUCACACUAUCAUUAACUGAAUCCAUAGGUUAAUGAGGCGAACCGGGGGAACUGAAACAUCUAAGUACCCCGAGGAAAAGAAAUCAACCGAGAUUCCCCCAGUAGCGGCGAGCGAACGGGGAGGAGCCCAGAGCCUGAAUCAGCAUGUGUGUUAGUGGAAGCGUCUGGAAAGGCGCGCGAUACAGGGUGACAGCCCCGUACACAAAAGCGCAUGUGCUGUGAGCUCGAUGAGUAGGGCGGGACACGUGGUAUCCUGUCUGAAUAUGGGGGGACCAUCCUCCAAGGCUAAAUACUCCUGACUGACCGAUAGUGAACCAGUACCGUGAGGGAAAGGCGAAAAGAACCCCGGCGAGGGGAGUGAAAAAGAACCUGAAACCGUGUACGUACAAGCAGUGGGAGCACCC